UGAAUUGAGGACCUUGCGCUUGCAAAGCAAGUGCAGUGCCACUGAACUAAAUCCUCAGCCCUCUAAAUUACUGUUAGUAAGAACAGUUUGCGAUAAGCCACUGUUAGUUCUCCCAAACCUCUGUUACAUAUGGAACAACAUUCAAAGCAUCAUCUAAGAAGUAAGAUUAAUAAAUACCAGAUGCCAGUACCUUGAUCUUGGACUCCUCAGCUUCCAGAACUGCUGCUCUGUGUGUCCUGGCUCAAUGCUUCAGCUUUCCCUGGACGAUCAGUGAAGGCGACAGCCCAACGGUGUGCUUGCUGGACUCAAGAGAUGUCAUGG